GUAUAAUCACCCUCUUCUCCCCGUGUACAAGUCCGCUGCUUUUAAGCCAUACUUUUGCUUAUUAUUAGCUCAUAAGCUUCUGCUUCAAGCAGCGUAUAAAUAUAUCAACGCUAUAUAGUCUACAAUUCCUGUCACAUCCACUUGCUUCUGCUGCCACUCUUCCAUUUCGAAUAAUCGCUUCUACAACCUCACACCCAAAUGGGUUUUAUAGAGUCCGAAGAGAGGAGACUUAUGGAGAUGGAAGAAUUGAAGCGCAUGCUGGUUGCCUGCGCUGGCCUCAGCCGCAGAAAAGACCAAGAAGAUUUCCAAGGCUUGCGUUUUUCUUCCACAGGUUUCGAUAUCGACGACCUCGUUGGUCAGAAGCUUGUUUGCGUUACUAGCGGUGUUUCCUUCCUUGGCCUCGCCAUCGUCAACCGCCUCCUCUGCCGUGGGUACUCCGUCAGAAUAAUUGUCCACACUGAAGAGGACAUGGAGAAAUUGAGGGAGCUGGAAGUCUCCGGAGAGAUGAGGACAAGCAAUAACAGCAUCAAAGCAGUAAUGGCCAAACUAACUGAAAUUGAAAGCUUAUUGGAAGCAUUCGAGGGGUGUCGUGGAGUCUUUCACACCGCUGCUUUUACCGACCCUGCUGGCCUCUCUGGCUACACUGUGAGUUCCUUUCCUUGCCCUUUGACGAGGGACUUUCUUGCUCACUCACACUACAUGCCUAUUUCAAAAGAACAUGAGUUUCAUUGCUUAAAUCCCUUGACAAUUCCAGAGAGAAAAGAAUCUGAGUUGGAUUGAUUUUCAAACUUAUUUCAAAAUUCUUCUGUCCCAUUGUAAACUAGGUUAUGAAAUUAUAAUGCCAACCCUCACUCCUAUAAGCAUUGCCUGUCAAUCCCAGGAAUUUUUAAUUUUAUCCCUUCUGGCAAUGCAUCGUUGUAUAUUAAUCCACAGCUACUGCCAAGGUCUCAUUGAUUUUAGGAGCAAUCUUGGCCAUUUCUGGUCCACUCAAAAUACAAAACCUGUGUUCCAUGACUCAGUCAUGUAUCAUUGAGGGCAUGCUAACCUUCUUGGCAACAUUUAUUUUUAUCCUGUGUCUCGUAGGCAUCACCUGCUUCCAUUAUCACUUGACAACUACAUUUUUUUCUCUUGCAUUGUGCUAUUGAAUCCAUGUUUGCUUCUUGCAUCAGAUAUAGUAGGAAUUGCAAAUCAGAUUCACAGAUGCUCAGUUAUAAAAAAUAUAAAAAAAUGUUGUUGCAAAACUUGAGACGGAAAUAAUAGGCAGUGUACUAGCAUGAGGUAUGAGAUCAGCAAGGGCUCACCAUAAGGCCCCACUCAAACCACCACUUUUAUCUCAUUUCCAUUGAUGCUAUUUUUGUUUUGAAAGGAAUGCCAUUUUGUGGGGUUGAGCCCAUUAGGCCCAUUCUAGUCUCCAUUGAAGUACAUGCUUACAUGUGCAUGUAUUGAAAGAGGGAACCAUGAACUAACUAAAGAUUUCUUUCUUUGAUCUAUUUCUUCUUUUACCCCGUAAAGGCCUAAACCAAACUCCUGAAAAUAGAUUCAGUUUGGUUGGUUACAGUCUAUCUAUCUUAGUUCUUUUAGUUAAUAAUAUUAUAUAUUUUGCUUCUUAUAAAGUUUUUGAGGUAGGGAACUAACUACUUUUCUAGCUCACUAAAUGAAAUGGUUUCAUUUUCAUGCCCAAUGUCAACUACCACCUUUGGAGUAAUGUUGUAUUUAAUUAUAUACUUGUUCAGAAAGGAAUAGUUUUUAUGGAGUAUGAGAAUAAUCAUAAAUAUAGUGGGUAGAUUGGAUUGUUUUGAAAGCAGAGGUGUUCACCUUCCAGGGACCCUUCCCCACAUAAUUAAAAUACCAGAUUUGAACUUGGAGUUUUGUCCCCAGAUUUUAGAUUAAUCUACUCAACUCCAAAGAAAGGAUCUGCAAUUCUUUUUUCUAAUUGCAUCAUUAUCAUACUCUUAACUUUGAAUCCCCCUUUCAUCUGAGUUAACAAAGAGAAAAAAAACAAUAAGAAAAGAGUUAUUGGCAAGUUUAAUACAUAAUUAAAUUAAUAAAUUCAUUCUGCUGAUAAAUAAAUUACUCUUAUUUAUAAUUAUUCUUCAUUCUAUUAGAAAUCCAUGGCUGAAAUAGAAGUGAAAGCCACUGAGAAUGUAAUGAUGGCAUGUUCAAGAACAUCCUCAGUAAGGAAUUGUGUGCUCACAUCUUCACUCCUGGCCUGUGUAUGGCGAGAUUCCACAACACAAGGCCUCUCCCCUGUAAUUAACCAUGAGUACUGGAGUGAUGAAUCACUUUGUAUGGACAAGAAGGUACUUUUCCAUCCAUGCUACAUCCUGAUACAUAUUUGUUUUUCUCAGUUCAAGCUUUAGUUUGAAAAAAUUAUUCAUUUUCCUAAAAUAUGCAGCUCUGGUAUGCCUUGGGUAAACUGAGAGCAGAGAAGGCUGCAUGGAGAAUAGCAAAGGAGAAAGGUUUAAAAUUGGUCACCAUCUGUCCAGGCCUCAUCACAGGCCCAGACUUCUUUCAUAGAAAUCCAACAGCAACAAUUGCAUAUCUAAAAGGAUCUCAAGAAAUGUUCGCAGAUGGCCUGCUGGCAACUGUUGAUGUUAUGAAACUAGCAGAGGCACAUGCUUGUUUGUUGGAGGCUAUGAACAAGACAGCAUUUGGCAGGUACAUUUACUUUGAUCAUAUAAUUGAGAGAGAGGCUGAAGCAGAAAAAUUGGCAACAAAGAUGGGAAUGCCUGCAGACAAGAUAUGUGGAAAUGCACCCAUCAACGUUCAGGCUAGAUUUGAAUUAUCAAAUAAAAAGAUUUUAAACCUCAUGUCAAGAACACUCCGCAGUUGUUACAAUCAAAGUUAGAAACUCGGAAGUCACUGUUUCAUGCUAUGCUGUUUAUUAGUGUUUGGAGGGAAAGAAAAUAAAAAAAAAUAAAAUAAAAUAAAAAGAAAAUUCUCAAAAUGGGUCUUCUUGUCCUCCAAACUCCCUCUCCAUGGCUUGGGCCUAUUCUUGAUUUCUUGGUGGACAAAAACCAUCAUCAAGAUUCAAACCAUAGUACCAUACACAAACUGUUGGUUUUGUAAUUUUCUUUUUUUUGUUUCUCAGGGGAAAUUAAUUAUUGUUAUUAUAUUUAUAUAUAUAAUGUAAAAUUAAGCUGCAGCUACAGUGCCUGCACGUGAAGGGCAGCCUUGGUUUUUGGUAGGGGAUAUAGAAGAUUUCUUCUGGUCUUUCUUCCUUAAUGCUUUCAUGGAAGAAGAAAGGUUCCAGUUCUUGUCUUCAGCUUCAUCUAUCUCUAUUUGUUCUUGCCUGCACUCUUCACUGCAGAAUGGAGUGUCCCCUCUGCAUUAAUUAAUUUCAACGUUCAAAAGUUACCCGUCAAAAUCCAUCCUUCUUAAUAUUAAAAAAAAAAAUCAUUUUGUCCCUCAGGUUUCUAAUUAAAGAAGUGAAAUUCCACAAUAUAAUUUAAUUACAAAAAAAAAAAGUUACCUAUACAUGAAGAUGUCUCUGUUAUCACUCAGUGGUCUCUUGCAAAGAAAACAAGCUUCCAAGAAAUGAGGCUGAUGAUCUUCAAAUCUCGCAUCAUAAAAUCUCGCAGAUCUUGGAGAAGCAACAGACGAUGAAAGGUUCCUGAAACUCCCCGUCUUCCUCCCAUAACAAAGCGACCGAGAAAAGAAAGGGUGGUUGUGAUGGUGGUUUUGGUGGUUCCCUGAAAACCCAGCUUCCAUAUCAGCAAGAGAAGCUAACCCAUCAUCUUCCUCAACGAAACAAGGCCUUCUAAACCCAGAAGACGAGUCCAUGACUCUUUUACUAUAAAUUUGGCUAUGUAUAUAGCCCUUCUUCAAGUUUUUGCUUUUCUUAGAUUCUUGAGAGAAGAGAAGAGAAGAAAAGAGGAGAAGAGGAAGGACAAAGGUGAGUUUCCGGUUCAAAAAUGAAUGUGUGAAGGAAAUGAGCAAAGAUUUUAUAGCAAAAAGAUUUAAAUUUCUUGAAUUUUUUUUUUUUAGAGAAAGGAAAGAUUUAUAAACAAGGGGCGGCAGGUAUCGUAUAAAGAUUCGCGUUAGUGAAUCUGUUGGCUCAAGUCCAAACAAGCUUAGUUAAAACUAUAAUCCACCUGCUUCUGC
rnacentral:misc_RNA from 1 species